AUUGAACGCUGGCGGCAGGCCUAACACAUGCAAGUCGAACGAGUGGCGGACGGGUGAGUAAUGUCUGGGAAACUGCCCGAUGGAGGGGGAUAAAUACUGGAAAAGGUAGCUAAUACCGCAUACCAUCGGAUGUGCCCAGAUGGGAUUAGCUAGUAGGUGGGGGAACGGCUCACCUAGGCGACGAUCCCUAGCUGGUCUGAGAGGAUGACAAUCCACACUGGAACUGAGACACGGCCCAUACUCCUACGGGAGGCAGCAGGGGGGAAUAUUGCACAAUGGGCGCAAUCCUGAUGCAGCCAUGCCGCUUGUAUGAAGAAGGCCUUCGGGUUGUAAAGUACUUGCAGCGAGGAGGCGUUACUCGCAGAAGAAGCACCGGCUAACUCCGUGCCAGCAGCCGCGGUAAUAC
rnacentral:rRNA from 1 species